UGGGGAAUAUUGCACAAUGGGCGCAAGCCUGAUGCAGCCAUGCCGCGUGUAUGAAGAAGGCCUUCGGGUUGUAAAGUACUUUCAGCGGGGAGGAAGGUGUUGUGGUUAAUAACCACAGCAAUUGACGUUACCCGCAGAAGAAGCACCGGCUAACUCCGUGCCAGCAGCCGCGGUAAUACGGAGGGUGCAAGCGUUAAUCGGAAUUACUGGGCGUAAAGCGCACGCAGGCGGUCUGUCAAGUCGGAUGUGAAAUCCCCGGGCUCAACCUGGGAACUGCAUCCGAAACUGACAGGCUUGAGUCUUGUAGAGGGGGGUAGAAUUCCAGGUGUAGCGGUGAAAUGCGUAGAGAUCUGGAGGAAUACCGGUGGCGAAGGCGGCCCCCUGGACAAAGACUGACGCUCAGGUGCGAAAGCGUGGGGAGCAAACA
rnacentral:rRNA from 1 species